rnacentral:lncRNA from 1 species
CUUGCUUCCUUUUCUUUCUUUAUUUUUUAUACUUUUCUCUUCAUCUUUUCAUGCAGAACGCGAGAAUGAGAGAGAUUUCGAAGGAAGUGGCUACAAGUGCCGUGGGAGAGGGAAUUUUAUUCUUCAAGAGGAAUCCCUGCGGUGUAGCGUUCGAGAUAUUCGCAGAAAGAAUCGUAAAUCGAAAUUUAAACGAACAAAAAAUCUCGGCAUUUUUACUAAGUCAAUUUUUAAAGCCACAAAGUACCCUUUUUACAUUAACAACAUUCACAAUCAAAUAUCACACAUACUUCUAACCUAAUAAACUAUUUUUUCAUCAAAAUUAUUUAUUAAAUAAAAAUCUUGCCUUUUAAACUUCACUUCAUAGACCACAUACACCACUAAACCUUUCACUUUAAAUUACAGAUAAACGUCAAGGGCAUUUAUUUAAUUAUAACAACAGAUGUGGACAUUUGAUGAAUGUUACAAAUUGAUACAUAACCACAAAAAUGAAAGAUUCAACAGUUUUUUGGUAUAAAUACAUGACGAUAGAGAAAAGGAAGAAGCUCAUGGUCUCGUGUAUGCGUAUAAUACGUAUUACAAACGGGACAGAGGAUGGCUACCGGUCGCAGCAGGAGUCCACUCCAGGGGUCCUUCCGAAGUAGAGUCAGAGUUUGUGCUACCGAGACUAUCUUUUUCUUACUUCCCAUUAACUCAACAAUCACAAGAUUAUAUUUGCUAACAGACAAAACUAAAGACUAACUACAUUCCAUUUUGAUUAAUACCAAGUACCUGCGUAACGAAUGGCUAAACUGGAUUCACAUUGACAAAUGAUUCAAAGUAAGAGAGCGAGAGAGAGAGAGAGAGAGAAGCAGAAAGGACCUCCCACGUUGUUUAAAAAGGGCCACCGCCAUUCAAAAGUCACUAUGUUCUUUUUUCUACUGACCAAGAGCUCCAUUUCCGUCUGGAUUCGACAGAGAAGUUGGUGUUCAAGUAUUUAGAUAUGCUUAAUAGAAAAGAUAACAGAAGAAUUUGAUUUGUUACUAUCAACAAGACCAGAUGGAAUAAAUAUUCAAAAGGUUUAGAAAUGUUGAAGCUUGCAAUAGGAAUCUAAAUAGUUCCCAUAGGAUUCAGGACCUUGACAUGCAACAUGUAUGUGCACUAAACCACACACAACGCGACACCUUCCCAAGUGACCAAGGACCACAUCAGACCACCCACGAAGAUUCUUUGAAGAUCUUAUUGGUGUUUUCUAAGAACAGAUCAGUUAGAUCGUGUUAACUGAAUUUUCGACUUUUUUUUACUCAUCAUUCUCAAGUACAAAUCAUUAUCACACAUUUUACAUGACAUGUGCUUCAAUAUACACAUAAUAAUGUCCAUUGAUAUUAUCUUCUAAUCAAGAUGAUAAACUGCUCUAUGUCUAUCAAAGAUGAUUUAAGUUACUUCUAUCUGUAUUUUUAGAAGAAUGUUCCUUUAAAUUUACGAGAUCCAGACAAAUGUUGACUUCUUGGCGGGGGUUAUCCCCUGCAUUUUGCUAACUGUAAACCGACUUUUAGAAACUCCAACUGAGUUGCUUCAUUGUCCUCUAAGACUGAUUAAAAUCUAUUAUAGUGACUGUGAAGAAAACUUGGGAUACCUCCUACAAGUAUUAUGUGAAUUUUUAAAUAAAAGUUAAGGAAAGAAUGACAGAAUUUAAAAUUGCUAAGAGUCAUGCCAAAACAUUCUUUGUUAUAUUUUCAUGGUAUUUAAAGUGUCAAAAAUGUGCUAUUUCAACAAUGAAGAUAUGUAUUUUAGAAAAUGGAUUGAGUUUCCUAGUAAACAAAGUUCAGUAUUACAUCUCCAACCGUGUACUACAUUGGUGAUACAUCAAAUUCUAGAAUUAAUGCUUUUUUUUUCUUUCUCAAGAUUUAGAAUACUAAACAUAUGCUCAAUAUCUGUUGGAGUGUUGAAGAUGUUACGCCGUGCAAUUGUAUUGAAUUCCCACGUAGGACUGCAUAGUUAUAGAGGAGCGA